rnacentral:rRNA from 1 species
AGUGAACGCUGGCGGUAGGCCUAACACAUGCAAGUCGAACGGCAGCACAGUAAGAGCUUGCUCUUACGGGUGGCGAGUGGCGGACGGGUGAGGAAUACAUCGGAAUCUACUUUUUCGUGGGGGAUAACGUAGGGAAACUUACGCUAAUACCGCAUACGACCUACGGGUGAAAGCAGGGGAUCUUCGGACCUUGCGCGAUUGAAUGAGUCGAUGUCGGAUUAGCUAGUUGGCGGGGUAAAGGCCCACCAAGGCGACGAUCUGUAGCUGGUCUGAGAGGAUGAUCAGCCACACUGGAACUGAGACACGGUCCAGACUCCUACGGGAGGCAGCAGUGGGGAAUAUUGGACAAUGGGCGCAAGCCUGAUCCAGCCAUACCGCGUGGGUGAAGAAGGCCUUCGGGUUGUAAAGCCCUUUUGUUGGGAAAGAAAAGCAGCAGGUUAAUACCCCGCUGUUCUGACGGUACCCAAAGAAUAAGCACCGGCUAACUUCGUG